CCUGUGUCUCCACAGAAAGCCGUGAGACUUACCAGAGAAAGGUGCUGUACAUCUUCAGCAUUGCCUCAGGAAUCUGUUUUUUCGGAGUGGCAUGCAUGGCUCUCUACCGCCGCAACAAGAGACACAGGGAAAAGCUCCGGGCACACUUCUUGGAGAGCCGGAACCUGAGGGUGUGCAGAAUCAACGCCUCUGGGUUCAUGUCUAAAUCCAGCCCCAGGCCUCAGUGUGGCUGGCAGCUUCAAAAGGUGAGAUAAGGAACCAGCAUUUUAUUCAAUUAUUAAUGGGACUUGAGAUAAUUGAA
rnacentral:lncRNA from 1 species